AGGACGAACGCUGGCGGCGUGCUUAACACAUGCAAGUCGAGCGGAAAGGCCCUUCGGGGUACUCGAGCGGCGAACGGGUGAGUAACACGUGAGCAACCUGCCCUUAGCUUCGGGAUAGCUCCGGGAAACCGGAAUUAAUACCGAAUAUGACUUUGGCUGACAUCAGCAGAAGUGGAAAGUUUUUUCGGCUAGGGAUGGACUCGCGGCCUAUCAGCUAGUUGGUGAGGUAACGGCCCACCAAGGCGACGACGGGUA
rnacentral:rRNA from 1 species